GAUGAACGCUAGCUACAGGCUUAACACAUGCAAGUCGAGGGGCAGCAUGGUCUUAGCUUGCUAAGGCCGAUGGCGACCGGCGCACGGGUGAGUAACACGUAUCCAACCUGCCGUCUACUCUUGGACAGCCUUCUGAAAGGAAGAUUAAUACAAGAUGGCAUCAUGAGUCCGCAUGUUCACAUGAUUAAAGGUAUUCCGGUAGACGAUGGGGAUGCGUUCCAUUAGAUAGUAGGCGGGGUAACGGCCCACCUAGUCUUCGAUGGAUAGGGGUUCUGAGAGGGACGUCCCCCACAUUGGAACUGAGACCCUGUCCAAACUCCUACGGGAGGCAGCAGUGAGGAAUAUUGGUCAAUGGGCGAGAGCCUGAACCAGCCAAGUAGCGUGAAGGAUGACUGCCCUAUGGGUUGUAAACUUCUUUUAUAAAGGAAUAAAGUCGGGUAUGGAUACCCGUUUGCAUGUACUUUAUGAAUAAGGAUCGGCUAACUCCGUG
rnacentral:rRNA from 1 species